GGGAACUUGGCGAAGCUCGGUAUCGCGGCAGGCUCCAGACCUGUUGGUCGAGGGUUCAAAUCCCUCAGUUCCCA
rnacentral:tRNA from 1 species